CUGGGCAACGAUGGCUGAAUUAUUAUCCUCACAUUUUAGAAAACACUAGUCGCCUAAAUAAUCUGGUAAAUUUGCCUUUUCAACUAAUUUGUUUCAUAUAUAAAUCAAAAAGACUCCAGUCAUCAUCCUCCUCAACAGCCUCAGGAGGAGGAAGAUCAUCUUCCUUCCAACACAUCUCAACCUCUCCACUAAUAAGGCAAGGAGGCUCCUCUUAAAACCACUCCUUCAUUGGUUGUGAGAGCAAAGACAAACCACCAGAAUGGCAUUAGUAGUGGCAAGUGACACAGAAGGGUCAACAGGGUCAGAUAUGAAGUAACGUUAUACACAUUUUGAUGUUUGUUCUUUAAGUCACUAGCUAUCCUGAUCCAAGUUCCUGGCCAGACCAGACCAGAUCACAGACCAGACCAGAUCACAGGCCAGACCAGAUCACAGGCCAGACCAGCAACUGAAAGGAAUUAACUUAAAUAGACAUGGUGAUUAACCUACCAGAACACAGGUGCGCACAGUGAACAUACACAUGCCACGAUCUAGGGGCCACUUGGAAACCAAAACAUGGCACCUGGACCGUGACACAGCUUGACCACUAUUUCCAUAUCUUCUAUUUGUGUCCCAACAGCGAGUUGGAGGCCAGGAGUGGAGGUCCAACCUACAACUUCAAGUCAAAUGGAAGAAAGUAACACUCUUGGAAGUUUUGUUAAAAGCCCACUUUUGCCAGGAAUUACUGAGGUCGAGGUUAAAAGGGCGGGGACGGCAGCUGGAGGGAGAGACCUGCAGAAGAAGAGACGAUUAAUUUCUCGACGUCUAUACUACAUUCUGCCGACAUCUCGUGUGUGUGUGUCGGGCCGACAUCAGUAAGACGUGUGUGUGUUAUCUGGGUAUGGUCAACUUCCUGUUCACAAGUGAUCAAGAUAACUCUAAUCAGAUGUUAGAACAACUCUGACAUAAAAACUAAAACUUAAAGACAAACAUCAUAUAUACAAAUGGGACAUUAGACCAAAACCCUGCAGACAAAAGACAAUACCCCACGGCAAUGAAGAGCACAGUUGAUAGAAUGCUGCAAAUAAUCAAUGCAAAUUCAAAUGCCUAAUAGCCAAAAGGUAAGUGCUGUCUCUAAAACGUGAUGUAGAAGUCUUAAUACUCCUAUAUCUUCUUCCUGAUGGUAAGAGAUUAAAUAGAUAGUGAGCAGGAUGAGAGUGGUCCGCAAUGAUGUUUUUAGCCUUCCUGAUUAUUGUGGAGAAAAGUGAAGAAAGUGAAGGCUACAACCUAUGAUUUUUUAUGCUCUGCGUACCACUGCCUACACUGCCUACUGUAUGAGACGGUGUACCCACUCAUACACUAUUUCAUGCAGUGUCAUUAAUUUAGUGUGGUGUUAUGAAUUGCAUUGUGGAAACAAGGAUAGUAGAUAGGGAGGGCAUAAUAAGCCUGUAAUGAAUAUGCAAUUGCAAUGAGGAAAUUAGUUUUGGAGGAAAAGAAGAAAGGAAAAAAAAGAGGGGAAGGAAAGAAAGAUUGUAAGAAAUUAUAGAAGAAAGACAGAGAAUGACAGCACACCACCUGUCAGUGUUAAAGACAGUGAGGCAGGUGAAGUUGCUAUGCCAGCAUUAUUGUUUUGAUUGGCAGGCAUGAUUUGCCAGAUUCUCUAGGCAUGAUCGUUUUCAUUAAGAGUUUUUAAUUAAGUUGAAUUUGGUUUGAAUUUGAAAUCAAUAUUCACAAUGAAUUAGUUGUGUUCUUAUUUGUUGAUAAUCCAAUGUGACAACUUACUCUACAUCAGAGGUCUCCAACCGGUUCCACGGAGGACCAUGUGUCUGCAGGUUUUUGGGUUUUCCUUUAAAUUCGUUCCCAGUUCAGACCGAAACAACCAGGCGGGGGUAGAAACGUACCAGUUAGUGACCUAAUUAGUCAGUUAAGUACAAGGUGAGAGUGAAAACCUGCAGACACUGGGCUCUCUGUGGAACCAGUUUGAGACCUCCGCUCUACAUAGUGUGACAACUUACCUGCCGAUGGGGCAAAUUGUCACAAGUCAACACUCUAUUUAACGCUCUUCAACUCCGUACUGAAAUAAGAUAUGAGGAGGUAAUGAAUACAAAAUAUGUGCCCAAGACUUUCUUCUUUAAUUUGGAAUGACAUUUAUAGCAUUGUAAUGUAUUGUGCCCUGUAAAUGUUACACAGUGUGAAAAGUGUGACAACAUACCCCCCGUUCUCCACUUCAUUGCUUAUUGACAAAUAGAUUAUUAUUGACAAUUCCCUCUCGUCCACCUGUAGGGCAAGAGCCUGCAAAACAUAUCAUUUAGGCAGUCAUCUAUUAAGUGCCUUGGCUACGAAGAAAGUAAAAAAGCGUAAAAAUAAAAAGUCCCAAACCCACAAUAGUGUACAACAUCAACAGCGUCAUCAAGGUAACAAAGUCGCAAAGUGCUGUCCCAUUACUAUUUACAGAAUUUUGAGCCCUUGCAGCCUCUUGCACUCAAUCACUACCAGGUGACGUCAGUUAAGUCUGUGAGGGUUCAGGGCCUAGGAUUUAGGGGGGGGGGGGCAUUGGGAUUGGGCCUUGGAAUGCCCAUCACUGUUAGAUACCAGUGCUGUUAUCUGGGCUACAGAUAUUUGUCAUUCUAGUGACUCCUUGUGGCGUCUAUUGGAUUAUGUAUCUGUGGAGUUAUUUUUGAUAAUCUGUAAAAGGUGAAAUGCAAUGAGCUGUCUAACCAUUCUCCUGUUUCUAAAAAUGUCGCUGUAAACCUAAGACUUUUAUUUUGAAGGUGUUUUCACAUUGUAUAUUGUGGCUUAAUGUCGAUGAUUUCACGGUCUUUAAAAUGUAGGCAAAAUUUCCUGUUGUGCCUAGCUCAGGUGUCGGCGAUUUUGGUCACUCCACUAAACUAUUUUAAGAAACCAUAUGCAUCAUUAACAGAACAAUACAUACCACGUCAAUAACUCAACAAAGCAGACAUCUUUCUGGUUUGAUGGUUAUACUUUUCGAUAAAGCAAUGAAACGUGAAUGUUUUACCUGAUGGAUUUGUUUUUGUGGGUGUUUCUUCUGUUGGUAAGUUGUCUUUUUACACCUUAACGUACGUUUUACUGAAAUACAGUUCUGUUCGUGUGAUGCAAGUUUAUUCAUUAAUAUCAUGUUCGCUUAACAAAUUGAUACGCUCAUGUAUGCGGCCUAGUAAACUAGGCCACAUACUACGGGAGCACCUGGGAUUACGUCUUCCUAGGUUGUCCAAAUAUUGUUAAUGCUUUGUAUUGUCUAGUUUUAUAUUUAUAUAAGUCUAGCGACUUAUAUUUUAAUACAUUGUUUUGAAAAAUCCUAUGGAAAGUUUGUAUAUAGGAUGUAAUGGAAUAUCUAUAGCCAUUUAUCACAUAUUUCUGUCAUUUGAUCGAUUUAUAUAUUCCCGUGAUCUAUUUUGAGAAAAUUUGGACCAUUUGUCAAAGUUUGCUCACAUGUUUUGGUCUACAUUUCAUUUUUCCUGUCUGUUUAGGCUGAAUAAAGACCUCUCUUGACACAACAAGGAAGUAUUUGGAAAAAAAGAAUGUGGAUCUGAUUACACGGAUGUUAGUUA
ensembl:lncRNA